rnacentral:lncRNA from 1 species
AGCGCCGGGCUGCGGGGACGGAGCUGGAGCUGCCCGCCCGGAGCGAAAGAGGGGGAAGGACCGCUCGCCUGCGCGGAGAGGCGGGCGCUGAGCGCCUGUCCCGGCGGCCCGGAAACCGCCCGGAGAAGGUGUCCUGUGACAGCCCUUGAUCAGCAACGCUGCAAGUCAUGUAGAAGCCGCAGUAACUGCAGAGUCUCUGAUGGAUAAUUGGAUUGGGAAUAAUAUGUGGGAGGCUGUGAACUAUUUGCUUCCGACAUAGGAACAGCACUGGGUUGGGAAUCUGCACUCCUGAGAGAAUGCUGGGAAUCUGCAGAGGGCGACGGAAAUUCCUGGCUGCCUCUCUGACCGUCCUUUUUGUCC